CCUCCCAAACCGGUCAAAUUUUCUUUUCCCUUAGAAACCCAUCGAUUCCCAUCACCAAAAGACAGCAGCGUGAAAAUUAACAGCACUUCAACUUCAUUAGUCGAAAAAUGUGUGAGCACACCAAGCAAUCCUUACACGCCUCAUCUCUCCUCACGCAAGAAACGACAAGUCACUACGUCAAAAGAGACGGAAAGCAAGUCCCCAACGUCUCUAUCUUCAAGAAAGUACAAUCUGGCACAAUUUUCCAUAAUUCCAACUGCAAUACUCGUCCUUGCUCGCUUGGAUGGGCGCCACGUCGAGGAGCAAGAACGAACAGAUCAAUCAAGAGCUCCAUCCUCAUUUCCAAUUUUGGAAUGGGUCAAGAGCCUCAGAAAAAGUUGUUCGUCUAGAACAAUGAAAGUUUUCGGACUUCAACAUUGAAAAAGGGGCCUCUUCUUAUCCAAUGUUGGAUUCCCCCCCCCCCCCCCAUUAAUACGAACCCUAAUUUCUUUCUAUAUAAACUUCUUUUUCUCCAAUGUGGAGGAGUUUUUUUUUUUUUGGGGGGGGGGGUUUGAAAAUCCAGCAAAAAGAUUGUUGUUGGAUAUUUUUUAGAGAAAGAUACAGAGUGCAACUUGGUAAAAAUUCCUACUGAAUGUGUCUCAAAAACAAAGGAGUCAAUCAGCUUUAGCACCUAAGUUAGAUACUUCCGUCCAAGCUUUUUAUUACCAUCCAAUUUCAUAUGUUGGUGGUAAAGUUGGCUGGUAACCUCUGCUCGCCAAGUUCUGAUUUGCUGCCCUAGAAAAGAUUUGCUCGAGUUCAUUACGAAGUCCUUCUCGCCCUCUUGCAUUUUGGGAGAGCAACAAAGGCUCAAAAUUUCUUCUUGAGUAAAUUAGCAUGAAUAGACGUAUAGGUCCCAAAGUCCGAGAAAAUAAAAAAAAGGCCGAGAGCUUGAAGAUUUUGGGUCAAGAAGCCCAAAUUUAUUUUUACGAAAUAUUGUAUUUUGUUAUUUUUGGGCCUAAUCCAUUGCCAUUUUACUACUAUUAGAUUGUUAGAACAUAGGACAGGUACAAAUAGGCUAAAAGCCAAAGACAAUAUGGUUCAAAAUAUCGGUCCAGGCAAACAGAACCGGAUUUGGACCCAACUAUCUUUUUCUCUCUCUA